AUUUAAGUAGUUUAUAAAAAUAUUGAUUUGUGGUGUCAAUGAUAUGAAUUAGUUCAUUCAUCUUAGAUC
rnacentral:tRNA from 1 species